GAAUAUUGCGCAAUGGAGGAAACUCUGACGCAGCAACGCCGCGUGCAGGAAGAAGGCCCUUUGGGUCGUAAACUGCUGUAGCAGGGGAAUAACGGUCUCCCACGGGGAGACAUGAAGGUACCCCGAAAGUAAGCGCCGGCUAACUACUUGCCAGCAGCCGCGGUAAUACGUAGGGCGCAAGCGUUGUCCGGAUUCACUGGGUGUAAAGGGUGCGUAGGCGGGAGAGUAAGUCAGUGGUGAAAUCUCACGGCUCAACCGUGAAACUGCCGUUGAUACUGCUUUUCUUGAGUUCGGGAGAGGUUGAUGGAAUUCCAGGUGUAGCGGUGAAAUGCGUAGAUAUCUGGAAGAACACCAGUGGCGAAGGCGGUCAACUGGCCCGAAACUGACGCUGAGGCACGAAAGCGUGGGGAGCGAACAGG
rnacentral:rRNA from 1 species